GUGAUUACUGACUGUGAUCUUCAGCUUCUCGAAACUUUGUCUUCAGAAACUUGGGAUCUGAGUUUUAAGUCUGUGAUUCCAUUGAGGGUUUGUAUUUGCCAAGCUCGUCUGAGCACUGUCAACGUGAAAGGCCUGUUAUGUCUGAUGUGUUUGUGUGCUUUUUCAUUGUAAUUACACAGGUGACAUGAAUUCUAUCCUCAGACCUGGUUAGUAGGCAAUUCAAGGUAGGAAUUCUUAGAGGAAACUGCCUUCUUUCUCUUCUCACUCUACAUAGAAACAAGGCAGAGACAGAUAAUUCUUCUGUAGGCAGAUUGUAUUCUAGUUCACCAACCAAAUGAUCUUGUGAAUUGAAACUUUGUAUAGGAAUUCUAGUUCAAUCCUCCAUCCUGCUCAGGCAUCAAGCUAUGUCACCUAUACAGCAUGUAUGCUCACAGUGCCCGGAAACCCAGGCUCUAGGAUGCCAGAGUUCAAGCUCUAAGUUAAUAUAUGCAUGGCCAGGUGUGGUCUGCAUGAAGAUGUCUUAGACCACAUCUCUCUAGAAUCACAUGCCCUCAGGAAAACUAUCAGCUCUAAUUCUGACUUACCUUGUAGACAGUGUGUUCUUAUUUAUAGUCUUUGCUUAUUCUCCUUACCUCACUGACAGCCCAACCUUGUUUUACAAAUACAUGUUGAAGUAAUUUAUCCAGCAUUUUUAUCUGUUCUAUACCUAGAGGGGUUUAUCUGCUCACCAACUAUCAUAUUGCUGGAGAUGAAAUCUAUUCCUUUAUAAUCUAAAUUUUACAACACAUUUCUGAACCAUCCAUCAGUCUGGCCUUGUGGUUAAUCUGAAUUGAGCUGGCUCUUUCCCCACUUGCAAGAAAAAAAAAAAAGCUGUGAAGUGCUUCUGAGGAGCACAAAUAUUUUUCAGACCACUUAAGGGGGCCACAGAAAGCUGGUCUCAUGCCUGUCCACCCCUCUCCUCCAGCUGGAUGGUACUCGGCCUAAUGCCAUUGCAUCUGCACACCACGGCUGCUCCUCACCCUACCAUCCCAGCCCCCUCCCCAUGGCAGACUUCUACUCAGCGUGGGUAUACACUAGUAUUUUUAAACACCAAUAAAGUUAAACAACUGCAAUAUCCUCAAAGAUUAAUUAUCACUCACUUUUAAAAAGUCAAUUUUCUUUAAACUAAGGAUGUAAAUGAGAAAACAAAUGAAAAAUAGAUUUCCAGAAGAACCACAUUUCCUGUUAUUCAGCAGA
rnacentral:lncRNA from 1 species